rnacentral:sRNA from 1 species
GCCAGAUAAUAAAUAAAAGAGUACCAAAAUGUCGUAUUCUGACAUGUUUACGAAGGGAGUACCGCUCCCUUCUUUUUUU